ensembl:lncRNA
AUACUGCUUUUGAUUGGACAGAAUUGGUGCCGGAGUAAGGAAGGGGCGGGCCAUCAAGGACCGAGGUGGGUGGGGCUCACGGCGGGUGUGCGGAGUGGGCGGGAAAACGUGGAGCCCGGGGAGAGGCCCCGCUGGGAGUUCUAGUUAGGCUUUGACAGUUGAUGACACCGGAAACUCCGGGGAAACUAAGGCACAGAGAAGUUAGCCUGUGGCUGAGAAGAUUUGAGCUCAGGUCUGUCUGACUGGCUGGUGCCCAGCACUGCCGGGCGACAAGACAGGCAGUUUCUGCAGGCGUGGGACUCACAGUGCGGCUGGUUCCAGCUAGAGGGAUCAUGGAGGUGUCUGUGAAAGAGAAGGUCCUUGAAGGAUACAGAGCAUUUGGCUUUGGGAUAGGGUACUUUUCAGCCAGGACAUUUCAGAGCAAACCAUCAGAGAUCUGCCUGUCCACAAGAGCCAUGUUUUUUUUGCUUUCUUCCUCCACGCUCUAAAUUUCCCAGAGUCUGACCUUCGCAGGGAAGACUAUGAUUUUCCAACACUGCCUGCCACUUAGUGGAGAAGAUUAAUUUGGGGGUUCAGGAGUAGUAAGCCCACUUGUCUUUCAGACCUGAAAGUACAUCUCUAUCAGCUUCGUCAGUAUUAAAGGUGGUAUUUUGAUCUCCCUCUGCCCUACUUCUGUAGCUCUCUCUCAUUUGGUUCUAAACUUGGGUGAGGAUACUCCAAAACCCAACAAUUUCUCAUGGAUGCUGUGAUUGGACUGACUCAGCUCAACUGUUUUCUGUAUCUAUGUAAUUCUACUCAAGAUUCAGAGUCCUGGCUUGGCUUGGAUCUCAUGUUCACCUCCUGGCAAAAGUGGAGAGUACCUUGAUCCACAGUUCCCUCACGCUGCAAGGAAUGGGAAAAGUAGUUCCCCAAAAGCGAAUGAUGACAGUUUCCAAAAUAAGAAGGGAAGAGCUAUUGGGCAUGGAGAAACGACAGAUGUCCACUGCAGGGAGCUAUUGCAAAUGUCCUGGAGAAAGACUGUGAGUGAACUCUCCGAGAGCGGGGAGACCUUGACUGGAUCUUCUGCCGCUAGCAUGGGGCCUGGCAGCUAGUGGUCAUAAUGAAAGCUGGCAUUUGAUGGUGAAGCACCAGGCAUGGCGCUCAAUGCUUUACACAUAGUAAAUCAUUUAAUCUGCAUGACAACUUGAGGAGUCAUGGAAGCCCGUGUUGAGGUGGAGCCUUCAUCGCCCUGGGUCUCUGAGAGGCUGCUUUGAAGAGAGACCCCUAGUUGGUUCAAAUGAGCAUCCAGUACGAGUGAGGAAUUUGUUUUGUUGUCUUAAGCUACUGAGACUUCCCUGGUUGUUUCUUACUGUAGCAAAACCUAGCCCAUCCUAACUGACUGUCCCUCACUGGAGUCGGAAUAAAGGGGCUGGACAGGAGGCUUUUGCCAAGUGGGCCAAGACUGUGGCUAUUGAGUGCCAAUUACCUCCACAGACCAACCGCGCCUCCCACCUGCCAGAGUGCACCCCUUCCUCCGUGCCCUUCUCGCACUUCACAAUCCCACCUGACCUGGCACCCACUUCCCAGUGUCUGUAACAUGCUUCCUGUCCCUUUGCCACACAAACCACAACGCUGAGAUGUGGUUUUCUAAAGAAUUGGCUAAGCUCAAGCCACCUGAACAAGCAGAGCUUUUCAGCCUCUGUUUUGAGGUCAUUGUGACCAAAAGCUGAUUUCCAUACACACCGCCAGCCUUCCAAGGAAAGGCUUAUGAUGUUAACAGCAAUAAAUAUGCACUCAGUUGGGAA